rnacentral:miRNA from 1 species
UGGGGAUUUGGAGAAGUGGUGA